rnacentral:rRNA from 1 species
CUGGCGGCACGCCUAAUACAUGCAAGUCGAACGAGGUAGCAAUACCUAGUGGCAGACGGGUGAGUAACAUGUGGGUACCUUCCCUUUGGUGAGGAAUAACACGAGGAAACUUGUGCUAAUACCUCAUAAGUCUUUACGGAGAAAGCUUUAUGCGCCAAUGGAUGGGCCCGCACUUGAUUAGUUAGUUGGUAGGGUAAUGGCCUACCAAGACUUUGAUCAAUAGCUGAUUUGAGAGGAUGAUCAGCCACAUUGGGACUGAGACACGGCCCAAACUCCUACGGGAGGCAGCAGUAGGGAAUCUUGCACAAUGGAGGAAACUCUGAUGCAGCGAUGCCGCGUGAGUGAAGAAGGCCUUUGGGUUGUAAAGCUCUUUCGUCGGGGAAGAAAAUGACUGUACCCGAAUAAGAAGGUCCGGCUAACUUCGUGCCAGCAGCCGCGGUAAUACGAAGGGACCUAGCGUAGUUCGGAAUUACUGGGCUUAAAGAGUUCGUAGGUGGUUAAAAAAGUUGGUGGUGAAAUCCCAGAGCUUAACUCUGGAACUGCCAUCAAAACUUUUUAGCUAGAGUAUGAUAGAGGAAAGCAGAAUUUCUAGUGUAGAGGUGAAAUUCGUAGAUAUUAGAAAGAAUACCAAUUGCGAAGGCAGCUUUCUGGAUCAUUACUGACACUGAGGAACGAAAGCAUGGGUAGCGAAGAGGAUUAGAUACCCUCGUAGUCCAUGCCGUAAACGAUGUGUGUUAGAUGUUGGAAAUUUAUUUUCAGUAUCGCAGCGAAAGCAUUAAACACACCGCCUGGG